GUCUGUACCCAAAGUCACUUUAGCCAACCUGCAAGGAGGCGAGUGCCUAAGGUAUGGGGGAUGAUUGGGGUGAAGUCGUAACAAGGUAGCUGUAGGUGAACCUGCAGAAGGAUCA
rnacentral:rRNA from 1 species